rnacentral:tRNA from 1 species
GCGCCUGUAGCUCAGCAGGAUAGAGCAACUGCCUUCUAAGCAGUAGGUUGGGGGUUCAAGUCCCUCCAGGCGUACCA